rnacentral:rRNA from 1 species
AUUGAACGCUGGCGGCAGGCCUAACACAUGCAAGUCGAGCGGAUGAAGGGGGCUUUCUCCUGGAUUCAGCGGCGGACGGGUGAGUAAUGCCUAGGAGUCUGCCUGAUCUUGGGGGAUAACGUCCGGACACGGGCGCUAAUAUCGCAUGCGUCCUGAUGUAGAACGUGGGGGAUCUUCGGACCUCACGCUAUCUGAUGAGCCUAGGUCGUAUUAGCUAGUUGGUGUGGUAAGGGCCUACCAAGGCGACGAUCCGUAACUGGUCUGAGAGGAUGAUCAGCCACACUGGAACUGAGACACGGUCCAGACUCCUACGGGAGGCAGCAGUGGGGAAUCUUGCACAAUGGGCGAAAGCCUGAUCCAGCCAUGCCGCGUGUGUGAAGAAGGUCUUCGGAUUGUAAAGCACUUUAAGUUGGGAGGAAGGGAAGUAAGUUAAUACCUUGCUGUUUUGACGUUACCAACAGAAUAAGCACCGGCUAACUUCGUG